rnacentral:rRNA from 1 species
UACGAAGGGAGCUAGCGUUGUUCGGAAUCACUGGGCGUAAAGCGCACGUAGGCGGAUUUGCCAGUCAGGGGUGAAAUCCCGGGGCUCAACCUCGGAACUGCCUUUGAUACAGCAAGUCUUGAGUUCGAGAGAGGUGGGUGGAAUUCCUAGUGUAGAGGUGAAAUUCGUAGAUAUUAGGAAGAACACCGGUGGCGAAGGCGGCCCACUGGUCCGGUACUGACGCUGAGGUGCGAAAGCAUGGGGAGCGAACAGG